rnacentral:rRNA from 1 species
GACGAACCGUGCGAACGUUAUUCGGAAUCACUGGGCUUAAAGCGCGUGUAGGCGGCCCGGCACGUCAGUCGCUGAAAUCCCCCGGCUCAACCGGGGAAGUGGCGUUGAUACGACCGGGCUGGAGGGGGGUAGGGGGGACGGGAACUCACGGUGGAGCGGUGAAAUGCGUUGAGAUCGUGAGGAACAUCAGUGGCGAAGGCGGCCUUCUGGACCAGUACUGACGCUGAGGCACGAAAGCGUGGGGAGCAAACAGG